CCCUUAGAUGUUCUGGGCUGCACGCGCGCUACACUGAUGCACUCAACGAGUUUACGACCUUGCCCGAUAGGGUUGGGUAAUCUUUUUAAAAUGCAUCGUGAUGGGGAUAGAUUAUUGCAAUUAUUAAUCUUCAACGAGGAAUUCCCAGUAAGUGCGAGUCAUCAGCUCGCGUUGAUUACGUCCCUGCCCUUUGUACACACCGCCCGUCGCUACUACCGAUUGGGAAAAUUUUAGAGAGUCCUGGACUGAUGAUUGUUCGGCUUCACGGCCUUACUUUCGUCGGGAAAGAAUUCGAUAAUAUUUUUCUAGAGGAAGUAAAAGUCGUAACA
rnacentral:rRNA from 1 species